rnacentral:misc_RNA from 1 species
AACGCACAUUGCGCCCUCUGGUAUUCCGGAGGGCACGCCCGUCCGAGCGUCAUUUCCACCUCAGGCCCUGGGCUUGUCGUUGGGCGCCGUCCGAGAGGACGCGCCUGGAAACCAUCGGCGCCUCCCGAGGCCCCGAGCGCACAGAGCUUAACCGCCCGCGCUAGGGGACCGCCGAGGGGGUAGCCCACCCAACACACGCUGAAGUUUGGCCUCGGAUCGGGCGGGGUUACCCGCUGAACUUAA